GCAGGUGCUCUACACUUGAGUCACACACAUACACCUUUCAUGUGGGGGUCUUAAAAUAUUUGCCAAGGUGGCCUUGGAUUGCAAUCCUUUGCCUCCCAAGUAGCUGAGAUUAUAGGCACCCACUACAAUUCACAGUUGAGAUGUGGGCCUGAAUCUCCUUAUCUUUUUGUGACUCAAGAUCCUCCCAACCUCCAAAGUAACUGGGAGUACAAGUGUAUGAGAAUCAUGGAUCAUCUUACCA